GUAAAAGAGAAUAACUUUUGGUUUUGUAAUUAUAUUUUACAACAUAACGUCAUUGUAACAAGAACACAUAUUUAGUAGUAAUAGGCUAAAAAAACUUAGCAUAUACUCGAGCGUAUAAAUGGAAAUGUAGAGUGGUCCAAUAAUUACGAAAUAUAAUGACAGCGAUCACCGUGAGCGUUUAGCUUUCGCUGUCCGCCAUUUUGAACGUGGCAAAGAACCUUUACGAGUAAAUUACACCAAGUACUUCAUAUAUUUUUUGUGGAUUUGCGGAUUUUUUUGAGGAUUUUGAAGGAUUUCUGUCGAUUUUUGAAGGAUUUCUGUGGUUUUUAAAGGAUUUUUCGGAUUUUGAUGGAUUCAUCGGAUUUUGAGGAUUUCAUGGAUUUUUUCUGGAUUUUUCCCGGAUUUUUUGACGAAGUGUACGGGAUUUUUGGAGUGAAUUGCCCCUCGAAUGUAAACACCACACAUACGCCAAACGUGUCGAUUGGCCGUGUUUUAUUAUUAAUAUUGGCAUUUUUAGCGUCUGGACAAAUUAGCGAGACGAUUAUAUUUCGAUAUGACAACUAUCCAUUGUGAUUCUUUGCUAAAGGCGGCUUUCCAUUUAAGCGUUACGUUUUUCACAUGUGCAUGUCGUGCAGAAAAGUCUAAAUCUUUGAAAAUUUUAUAUCAGUACCACACAAAACUAAAUGCUGUCCGUUCGUAAUUGAUUUAAUUCUUUCAUAUAGCAACUUGUGAAUGGAUUUAAUUUUUCUGUGCGCGUACGCCUGUAUGGAAAAUGCAUAACUGGAAAGCGGUCUUAAAUGCGCCUUUUUUUUUGUUUUGACGUGUCGUACAUAGUAAGUGAUUAAUAUUUAGAUGGACUUAACUCAGACGUUUACGUUGUCUCAGACGUUAAAGUCUUCUAAUAUAGAUGUGGCCAUUAUUAUAGCAUAUUUUAAUAGAUGAAACGCAUGCGCGAAUUAGUCGUACGUUAUAUUGAUAUGUAUAUAAAGAUAAUUAUCUGUGUCAGAAACAAGUAAUAUUUAAAUUAAUAAUAAUGAGCACACAAAAACCUGUACAUGCACAAAUACAACCAUAGAUCUUGAAAGUAUUUCUUUCAUUUACAGCUAUCAUUUUAUUCUGUGAACAGAAUGUAAUAUGUAAUAAUGCAGAACAGUACAAUGUGACAUGAAAAAGGCAAAUACUUCAUGUAAGACCCACAAAACAGUUUGAGCAAAUUAUAAGGUAUUUGCAUAUGAUCAUAAAAGUUAGUCAUAACCCUAACCCUGAAGCUACACCCAUAUCUAGCUUAGGGUUAGGGUUGGAACCCUAUGGUUAGGGUUGGGGUUAACCCAAGGGUAGUAGUUGACCCUAGGGU